rnacentral:rRNA from 1 species
CGCGUAGGCGGCGGACCUUGUCGAGUGUGAAAGCCCCCGGGCUCAACCUGGGAGGUGCGCUCGAGACGGGUUUGCUGGAGUUCGGGAGAGGAGAGUGGAAUUCCCAGUGUAGAGGUGAAAUUCGUAGAUAUUGGGAAGAACACCGGUGGCGAAGGCGGCUCUCUGGACCGAGACUGACGCUGAGGCGCGAAAGCGUGGGGAGCAAACAGGAUUAGAUACCCUGGUAGUCCACGCUGUAAACGAUGUGUGCUAAACGUUGGGGAGCGUAGCUCUUCGGUGUCGCCGCAAACGCUUUAAGCACACCGCCUGGGGAGUACGGCCGCAAGGUUAAA